GCUAUGCUAUUGUUUUCACUUUUCACAUAUUAUACUUCAUGCUCUAAAAUUGACUAUCAUUUUGCAGGUACACUGAGUAUAAAAAAAAAGGAAACUUUUUUAAAAGUGUUGUCCUCCUCUACAAAGAUACUAAAUCCAUGAGAAGACAUGCCUAAGUUGGAGAAAAAACAACAAGUUCAGCCUGCUACAAAAGACUUAUAAAGAGCCAAAAAGGAAAACACCUAUACAGUAAGCCACACAAAAAGCACCGCAAUUCCAAAACAAAUACAAAGGAUUGGAAGCAAAAGCGCUGCCAAGCAAUGAAAGACUAUACACCCAAAAGAUUCAAUUUCAAGCAAAAAAAAAAAAAAAAAACAGAGCAGCAGGCAACCCAACAACACAGAAAAGGAGGUGCAUCAACACAGAUGGUGCAACAAAAAUCCAGCAACAUAGAACAACAACUGUGUGAUAACAUGUAUGACACAAGUUGAUAAAGUGAAUGUUAUAUCUAAUAUAUUUGACUAUCUUAUUUCUUUUUAUCAUACUUUCUCUCUAUUUGUAUCCAAUAAGAAAAAGUUUAAUAUUUUUGUUUGUUCA